rnacentral:lncRNA from 1 species
GGUGGUUCUAUAUACACCCCCCCCUAUUGCUCAGGACACCCCCCAAAAAUUAAAAAAAAAUUAAAUACUCUCUACACCCCCCCCAUUUGCUAAGGACACCCCUAAAAAAUUAAAAAUUCCUAAAUUACCCCCCACCCUCCCCACCCCCUCACCUAAAUUGCUCUCUACACCCCUCACCUCGCCGGCGAGGUGGUUCCGGGAGAAGCCGGCGAGGUGGUCGGAGAUCGGAAGAAUGCCGGCGACGAGAGGGAGAAGGGGGAACGGGGGAGGAGGGGUUUAAGGGGGGUUUGAGGGGUGUUUUUUUUUUUCUUUUCAAAACGAAACGGAGGAGGAGGAAGGGGGUGUAUGAGAAAAUUUCAAGGGCAAUAUGGUAAUUACACUAAAGGUUAGUUUGGGUAUUUUUUUUUGGUUUUUGGGGGGUGUGCUGAGCAAUAGGGGGGG